rnacentral:rRNA from 1 species
UACGUAGGGUGCAAGCGUUAAUCGGAAUUACUGGGCGUAAAGCGUACGCAGGCGGCUUUGCAAGACAGGUGUGAAAUCCCCGGGCUUAACCUGGGAACUGCAUUUGUGACUGCAUGGCUAGAGUUUGUCAGAGGGGGAUGGAAUUCCGCGUGUAGCAGUGAAAUGCGUAGAUAUGCGGAGGAACACCGAUGGCGAAGGCAAUCCCCUGGGCCUGCACUGACGCUCAUGCACGAAAGCGUGGGGAGCAAACAGG